GAUGAACGCUGGCGGCGUGCCUAACACAUGCAAGUCGAACGGAGUCGUUUUGGAAAUCUCUUCGGAGAUGGAAUUCUCGACUUAGUGGCGGACGGGUGAGUAACGCGUGAGCAAUCUGCCUUUAAGAGGGGGAUAACAGUCGGAAACGGCUGCUAAUACCGCAUAAAGCAUUAAAUUCGCAUGUUUUUGAUGCCAAAGGAGCAAUCCGCUUUUAGAUGAGCUCGCGUCUGAUUAGCUAGUUGGCGGGGUAACGGCCCACCAAGGCGACGAUCAGUAGCCGGACUGAGCGGUUGCACGGCCACAUUGGGACUGAGACACGGCCCAGACUCCUACGGGAGGAAGCAGUGGGGAAUAUUGCGCAAUGGGGGAAACCCUGACGCAGCAACGCCGCGUGAUUGAAGAAGGCCUUCGGGUUGUAAAGAUCUUUAAUCAGGGACGAAACAAAUGACGGUACCUGAAGAAUAAGCUCCGGCUAACUACGUG
rnacentral:rRNA from 1 species